AGUUAAUGAACUUGUUAUAAGUAUAUGUUUUGAAAACAUAAUAAAGAAAUUAAACCUUCUAUUAACUU
rnacentral:tRNA from 1 species